CCCCCCCCCCUGCUUUCCUGGUAGUUGCUGUCGUUGUACCAAAAAGUGCAUAAGGGGUCGACAUUACUUAACCAUCGUUUCAAUCCUGGGGACAUGGAGUCAUUGCUAACCAGGGCCAGUCACUGCUAGCCAAAACAAGACUUCAAAGGUGCAUAACAGAGAGCAGGUUCGGCUUCCUGGCAGCGCCAUCGACCUCCCAUCGACUGACCAGAGUCUCGGGCUCGGCAUUCUGGCGCCGCCGAACAUGCCGACCGACGCGGCGUGUGUGGGGUGCAGCUUCCGAGUGACGCCGAGCGGGAGCUGACCCCCCUGACACCCCGCUGAGAAACAGAGGCCCGCUUCCUCGGCCUUCGGACCGGGUGCUAACGG